rnacentral:rRNA from 1 species
AACUCCGUGCCAGCAGCCGCGGUAAUACGGAGGGUGCGAGCGUUAAUCGGAAUUACUGGGCGUAAAGCGCAUGCAGGUGGUUUGUUAAGUCAGAUGUGAAAGCCCGGGGCUCAACCUCGGAAUUGCAUUUGAAACUGGCAAACUAGAGUACUGUAGAGGGGGUAGAAUUUCAGGUGUAGCGGUGAAAUGCGUAGAGAUCUGAAGGAAUACCGGUGGCGAAGGCGGCCCCCUGGACAGAUACUGACACUCAGAUGCGAAAGCGUGGGGAGCAAACAGGAUUAGAUACCCUGGUAG